GGCCGCCUAGCGUAAUGGUUAACGCGCUAGUUUCCGGAGACGCUUAGCUAGAGAUUGUGGGUUCGAGUCCCAUGGUGGUCG
rfam:Lentinula edodes NBRC 111202 DNA, contig: scaffold112.